CACCUGUGAGCGGCAUGACGAGACAAAAGACGGUAAAACUCAUUAUUAAUCGGUGAUGCUGUACAUUCUGGAUGAUGCACAGCCACAUUUUAUAAUACUGUUUUUUAUUUUCGUGUCGCGCCGCUCGCGUUCAAUAUAAAGUUAGACAAGACGCAAUUAAUUACUGGGAGAGUAACUGUAAGUGGUCUAAUGGUAAGAGUCGAACUUCACGAACCUUUCACUGCUUGCAGUAAGGCUAAAGUGCUACGUGAAUAAGAUGGGUGUAGUUUUGUGCUACAGGUACUAGCUGUAAAGUGUUUUUGCACUAUUGAGUUAUAAAUACUGCCCAGUAAUACUUAACUAGAUGUAAAUCACAAUUCUUGUGUCAAUGUUUGUUUGUAAUAUUUUUCAGCUAUCCAUCUGAAAAAGAAAAGCUGGCACUCUCAAAGGAGAUUGUGUUGUUGGAUUAUGGUCUCAUUUGGUCAAAAAGAGGGACAUGUACCUGGAUUUAUAAAAAUGAGAUUACAGAACAUCAGACGGUAGCUUCAACAGAGUUGAAGUGGGAGGACAUCAUCAAUAAAGAAUGCCAUUGACCAAACCUUCAGUCAUCAAAGAAGAUGGAUACAGGUAAUGACAAAAUCACCAAUUAUUGGGGGACAUCAAGUUUUCCAGACUUACCGAUGGGAAAGAAGAAAUGGGAAUGUGACAAUUAUUGAGAAACUCAGGGAAAAAGCAUCUUUAGAGAAGAAAAUGGACAUCAGACAUUUAUUGAAGAAAGCUGAC